UACGAAGGGGGCUAGCGUUGCUCGGAAUCACUGGGCGUAAAGCGCACGUAGGCGGAUUCUUAAGUCGGGGGGUGAAAGCCUGUGGCUCAACCACAGAAUUGCCUUCGAUACUGUUUGGCUUGAGACCGGAAGAGGUAAGUGGAACUGCGAGUGUAGAGGUGAAAUUCGUAGAUAUUCGCAAGAACACCAGUGGCGAAGGCGGCUUACUGGUCCGGUUCUGACGCUGAGGCGCGAAAGCGUGGGGAGCAAACAGG
rnacentral:rRNA from 1 species